UGAGUGUCCAGCGAGGUGGUGUGGCCGGAAGAGAGUAUGCAAUCUUUUUCCUGAGUGUCCAGCGAGGUGGUGUGGCCGGAAGAGAGUAUGUAAUCUAUUUCCUGAGUGUCCAGCGAGGUGGUGUGGCCGGAAGAGAGUAUGUAAUCUUUUUCCUGAGUGUCCAGCGAGGUGGUGUGGCCGGAAGAGAGUAUGCAAUCUUUUUCCUGAGUGUCCAGGGAGGUGGUGUGGCCGGAAGAGAGUAUGCAAUCUUUUUCCUGAGUGUCCAGCGAGGUGGUGUGGCCGGAAGAGAGUAUGUGAUCAUUUUCCUGAGUGUCCAGCGAGGUGGUGUGGCCGGAAGAGAGUAUGCAAUCUUUUUCCUGAGUGUCGAGCGAGGAGAGAAUAUAAUCGCUUUCCUCUGUUUUGAGAAAGGCGGAGUGGACGGAGGAGAAAAUAUAUGUAUCUUUUUGGGGAGAAUGUUUAGAGAGGCGAUGAUGCGAGAUGAGGAGUAACGUUGAGCA